AGCGAACGCUAGCGGCGGGCUUAACACAUGCAAGUCGAGCGCGUCACUUCGGUGACGAGCGGCGGACGGGUGAGUAACACGUAGGUUACCUGCCCCCGGGUGAGGGACAACCGAGGGAAACCUCGGCUAAUACCACAUAUGGUCUACGGAUCAAAGGCUUCGGCCGCCUGGGGAUGGGCCUGCGUCCCAUUAUUUAGUCCUAGUUGGUGGGGUAACGGCCCACCAAGGGUACGAUGGGUAGCUGGUCUGAGAGGAUGAUCAGCCACACUGGAACUGAGACACGGUCCAGACUCCUACGGGAGGCAGCAGUGGGGAAUAUUGCGCAAUGGGCGAAAGCCUGACGCAGCCACGCCGCGUGAGUGAUGAAGGCCUCAGGGUCGUAAAGCUCUGUCGGGAGGGAAGAAGUUCUGACGGUACCUCCCAAGAAAGCACCGGCUAACUCCGUG
rnacentral:rRNA from 1 species